rnacentral:lncRNA from 1 species
CUUCACUAUCCCGGUGACCUUCUGCUUCUUAUUUUCUUGGUGUACACUGUGUCCUUAAAAGAAGCUCAUGAAAACCUCUCAGGAGAUGGAGAUAAGAAACUUGCGUCUAGGGGCAAAUUCAGGGAAGAGAGAAUGUGCUUGAGAUCUGGAAGGCGGAAUCAGAUUUCUCAGACUCCCACUGAAGUGGCCCCCUCCCUCCACAGAAAAGCCCUCUUCACCAUGGCUGAUUUUAGGACUGUCAGCAAAAGAGUCUCUGUGAAAGAGUCCAAUGUAGAUAAACUUCCUAUUUUCGUGUCGCCCUGUUUACUUGGCCACUGGCCGAGAAGAUACACCCCCUUAUUAGUUUUUCAGAAACAUAUCCAGUAUAGUACUUGAAAGAACGAACAAGGCUUCUCUCGUCAUCAGAGCAAAUGCCGGUUUGUUGAGGAACAGCUCUGCAUAUUUAUAGAGCCAGGGGUGGUUUGACAGUUGGCAUGGGAUGCUUUUUGAUUGGAGGGUAAGGAUCAGGUGAGCCAGCAGGGCUAGUCUGAUUGGAGGGUAAGGAUCAGGUGAGCCAGCCAGGCUAGUCUGAUUGGAGGGUAAGGAUCAGGUGAGCCAGCAGGGCUCCCCACUGGAC